ACCACCGGGAUCCUACCUUAAUCUUGAUGACUUCUAGCUCCAGAACUCCAACGUGAUCUUCCUCGUAUGGUGAUCACACUGGCAGAGGUUCAGAUACCACUACAAGGUUUUGCGCCUAAAGCAAUGCCUCAAAAUUGUUGCAAUAAGGGUAUUUUAGUUGCAAUAUGCAGCAAUCGCAACACUUUGGUGGUGUUGUGAGGCGUUGCAAGUACCUCCGAUGCAAUAGGGUAU
rnacentral:lncRNA from 1 species